CGACCACUGUAACCCGCCGCCGUCGUUGAAGCCGCAGCAGAUAAAGAAAAGUUGUUUCAUUUGUAGAUCCUCAGAGCAAGAAAGAUUGACGAUAGAGUUUUGGCGUGAAGCUGAGAUUCUUUCAAAGCUUCACCAUCCAAAUGUGGUGGCCUUUUAUGGUGUGGUGCAGGAUGGACCGGUGUUAAUUUAAAGGUGGUAUUGCGAGAGAACCUGGAUCCGAGGCUCAUGGAAG